CCCGAUUCCAUAAAAUCUUCAAGAAACCAUCUCAAAAGAAAGCUGAAAAAGAGGCAACAAGAAUCUCAUCACGACAUGGCCAGUGUGGUCGUGCUGAUUGUUACAUUUUGGAGAGUAAGCAGCUUGAGUUUUAAUGAAGAAACUUCAGAAAAAGAAAGGGAAGGGCGCCAGUGAUGCUGCUUAGAGUUGCAGGCUCCAAAUUUUAAAUUAUCAUAAGUUCAGAACAAAUUAGAUUUGAUUUUUCUUUCCUAUUUAAUAGUCUCACUUCAUUGAAAGAGGAUGAUAAACUUCUUAUAUCUAAAUAUCAAGUUUAUUUUACAAAUGGUUAACUGACAAUUUUGAGAAAAAAAGCUCAUUGAGAAUCGAGUAGAGAUCUAUGGGUGUUUCUUCUUCAUCUACACCUUUCAUCUAAUUAUUUUCUUGUCUUGAUUUGUUGUUGUUUGAAUGGAAAGUUCUAGAAAAUCAUUUUUGAUUGUUUUAUGCAGCUAGUCCCUCAAGUAAAACCUUCAAAGCCUUCUCAGUGAGAGAGAUGCUAAGCUUCAAUUCAGAUUGGAUAGGGUAGGGUUGGGUUUAGGUCUGAAUAAUAAAUUUUAAAUUAAGGU
rnacentral:lncRNA from 1 species